GGUAUGGGAUGAGCUUGCGUCCGAUUAGCUAGUUGGCGGGGCAACGGCCCACCAAGGCGACGAUCGGUAGCCGGCCUGAGAGGGUGAUCGGCCACAUUGGGACUGAGAUACGGCCCAGACUCCUACGGGAGGCAGCAGUAGGGAAUAUUGCACAAUGGGGGAAACCCUGAUGCAGCAACGCCACGUGUGGGAAGAAGCAUUUCGGUGUGUAAACCACUGUCGUGAGGGAAUAAUACGCGUCUUCGGGCGCGGGAGAAUGUACCUUGAAAGGAAGCACCGGCAAACUUCGUGCCAGCAGCCGCGGUAAUACGAGGGGUGCAAGCGUUGUUCGGAAUCACUGGGCGUAAAGGGAGCGUAGGCGGAGGAGCAAGCAAUCUGUACAAUACCGGGGCCCAACCCCGGACCUGCAGAUUGGACUGCUUUUCUUGGAUAGUUCAGGGGCAGGC
rnacentral:rRNA from 1 species